rnacentral:snRNA from 1 species
AUACCUGACAGGGGAGAUAACAAGAUCAUGAAGGUGGUUUCCCAGGACCAGGCUUAUCCAUUGCACUCCUGAUGUGCUGACCUCAAAUGUGGGAAACUACCACGUAAUUUGUGGUAGUGGGGGACUGCGUUUGUACUCUCCCCCG